AUACGGAGGGUGCAAGCGUUACUCGGAAUCACUGGGCGUAAAGGAUGCGUAGGCUGGAUGUCAAGUUGGAAGUGAAAUCCUAUGGCUUAACCAUAGAACUGCUUCCAAAACAGGUAACCUAGAGUGAGGGAGAGGCAGAUGGAAUUAGUGGUGUAGGGGUAAAAUCCGUAGAUAUCACUAGGAAUACCGAUUGCGAAGGCGAUCUGCUAGAACUCUACUGACGCUAAGGCAUGAAAGCGUGGGGAGCAAACAGGAUUAGAAACCCCAGUAGUCC
rnacentral:rRNA from 1 species